CAGUCGCCGCGGUAAUACAGAGGGUGCGAGCGUUAAUCGGAUUUACUGGGCGUAAAGCGUGCGUAGGCGGCUUCUUAAGUCGGAUGUGAAAUCCCUGAGCUUAACUUAGGAAUUGCAUUCGAUACUGGGAAGCUAGAGUAUGGGAGAGGAUGGUAGAAUUCCAGGUGUAGCGGUGAAAUGCGUAGAGAUCUGGAGGAAUACCGAUGGCGAAGGCAGCCAUCUGGCCUAAUACUGACGCUGAGGUACGAAAGCAUGGGGAGCAAACAGGAUUAGAUACCCGUGUAGUCCCUGUCUCUUAUAA
rnacentral:rRNA from 1 species